CCGCGCACCCCCGCGCGCUGCGGGCGGGAAACUUGCGAGGCUCCGCUCCCAGCCUCUCCCACGUCUCUGUUAGCAGCGGGGCGCUGACCGGGUGGAGAGAGAUUGGGGCACCACAGAAACAAGCAUUCAUUGUCAGCCACGGAGACUGGAGCUGGCCCAGAGGCAAGCUAUGUGAGUUCUGGGAGGCAGAAGAGAAGCAGCUGUUAUACUGUGAAGGUUAUCACUGGACCCAGGGCUGCUGCUAAGUGCCAGUUUGUUCUUGCUCUUCCCUCCUUCCUGAUGCUGGCCUUGCCCACCCAAAGUGACCCCAGACUUCCACUGAUGCUUUGCUGACAACUAUGGAGAAUCAACAAGGAAGAAUCAAUAACCAUUCAUAGACUCAUUCCUGCCUCAGCAGCAGGACGUGCUGGCUUCCAGAGCUCCCUGCAAGUUCUAACUCAUCUGUGACUUUACUCAUUCCUUCAACUACAUUUUUUGGAUCUUUAUCUCCCAAGCUCUUCCCACAGUUGUGGCUUCUCUGGAUAGCAGCAAACCUACUGGUCAUCAGCAGACAGAACCAUUUAUUAACCCCAAGUAUUUUCUCCACCACCUCCAUGAUGCACUUCAAGAUGCAAUUCUCUUCUUCCAUCACUACUAAGAGAGCUCAACUACACUUUACACAAAUCACUCAGUCUUUCACCUGCUUAUUUCUUUCUCUUUCAACUUCUUCUCUGGCUUCUUUAGGAGUGGUCGGAGAGAGGAAGAGGUGUAAAAGGAUAGGGCCAUAUCACAGGAAAGUCAAGAAGGGACAGUGUGUCAAGAGCGGAGCAGGGUGCCCCACACAGGAAAAUGAGUCCAGAGAUUUAGGAGGGGAAGAACCAAGAAGCUGUGACCUUGACAACCAGAAAUUCACUAGCGACUGCCCAGGGAGCAGCUUCCUCAGAGUCAGGGGAAUGGAAGCCAGAUGCAAAGCUGGAAAAUGAGGAGAGGGUGGUGAAGCCAUGACAGUGAAUACAGACCUCAUUUGUACACAUCCUAGUUAGCUAAGAUCAGUGACCUUUAAAGCUCUUCAGGAGUGUCUAGAAAUUCUUUUUACUAAUUCUAUGUACUUCUUUAUUCUUCCAUUAAAACCUGCUUUCCUCAAGUACUGACAACAAAAUACAGUUAAAGCUGGUUCUUAUUCAAUUGUGUUUGUUUUUGUUCGUUUUCAUUAAAUUGCUGGCAUUAUAA